GAAGACUCUGAAGAUCCAGAAGCUGAAUAGUGGAAACUCUGAAGUCCAGAAGCAAGAAACUCUGAAGGCCAUGUUCUUCCCUCUGAGUUCAGAAUCAGAAGAUACAAUGGUCAGAGGAUCUGUGCUUUCCCUCUGACUCUGAUCAACCGGCUUCACAAGUUCCAAUAUGAAGUAUUCCUCUGAUCAGAAGUCUCCUAGGUUAAAAGGUCAAGUCGCUAUCCAAGUACAAAAGCAAGUGUACCUUCCUGACGACCUACCUAACGUUCUCAGCCACAGCAGAAGCUGGAUUUUCCAGAACUGCCCUCCAACGGUAGCAUUUCCCAUGCAACGCUCAACCCUAAUCCUUGGAGUAUAUAUAGAGGCUGAAGAUUGAAAGAAGCGGCGAGAAGAAACUAGCAAGAAGCAAUACACACGCGCAAGACAUAUUCAAAAAUAUUCUAAGCUUUCUUUCAUCUUGUAAUUUAUUUAGUUUACACUCAGCUUACUUAGAAGCAAACCUUUGUAAACACCAACCUCAAACAGUUGUUUGAUUUUCCUUAAGGGACCGGGUAGGUCAGUAUCCUUAAGAAGACUAAGAGAGUGAAUCUUAGUGGUAGUUCCUUUAGGAGAUCAAGGUUGAUCGGAUCCUAGAGAAGACUAAGAGAGUGAAUCUUAGUGUGAGCUAAGUCAGUGUAAUUGUUAGUCACUUGUAGGUUUCAAGUGCAGUUGUAACUCUUACCUGAUUAGUUGAUUGCCUUCAUUCUAAGAAGGAAGAAAUCACCUUAACGGGUGGACUGGAGUAGCUUGAGUGAUUUAUCAAGUGAACCAGGAUAAAAUCCUUGUGUGCUUUUCUAUCUUUUAUCUUUAGCACUUAAGUUCUCGAAAGAUUUGUCAAAAUCUUUAAGGUGGUAGUUUUGUACUGAAAACGUUAUUCAAACCCCCCCUUUCUACCGUUUUUCAUACCUUCAAACUUGCCAGUUGCCACCUGAUAUCAAGGUCUGGGAUUAUACAAGUUUGAAUAUGUUAGAUAUGAUGCAAGAGAUGUAAAUAAAGACUUUCUUGGGUAAGUGUGGUCAUCUGUUAUAAUAAAGUGAAGCUCUUCACAAAAUAGCUAUUGUGUUACUAAUUGCAGAAACAUGAUCACUCAGUAUGUAAUUCUGAUAUAGUCUUUAAAAUCAAUUGUAGAAGAAAAAGAAUGUCUUUAUCUAAGAGUGGAGGUGCAUUGGAAGAUAAUGGGGAUGUUGCUGCUGCUGCUUCUGCUUCGGCUUCUGGGAAUCAUUGUAUUCAUACCCCUUCUACAACUGUUCAUUCAUGAUUUCUUCCGUAUUUUUUACUCUUUGCUGAUGCCCUGCACUUAAAUAGUCCUAAUAAGAGAAGGGUGAAGAUAUGUCAUACAUGUUGCCUCACUUCCAUUCAGGAUGGGCUGUGGAUCAGGCAAUCCUUGCUGAUGUAGCAGAGCGAGUGAUGUAAAUAAAGACUUUCUUGGGUGCGUAGCAGAGAAUAAAGUGCUGCAUAGUGCCUUAUUAUCAUGUAUGAAGCAGCAAGGAGCUUUUAGGUCCUCUCAAGUUAGUAAAAAAGUAGCUUUGAGCUUCAAUAUACCUGAUCACAAGUCAGAAAAGGACUAUUACAGUGAAUAUCCAGUAACUCUUCCUUUGAGGAGACCAUAUUCAGGAAAUCCAGGUUGUUAUGUAGCCUUCUUGCAAUGUACGAUUACUACAUGGAUGUGUAUAAUUUCAUCUGAAACAUAAAGCUCAUAUGGUUAUGAAAAGUAUGUGAAGUACAUACGGUGAGUGGACAUGGAACAGAGAAAAUACAUGGGAGAAGAAAGCAUAUAGCAGGCUAUUGCAUACUCCUGUUAUGAUAGAACUUAGAAGCUGUCAUAUGCAUAUACAAGAUAUGUUAAAUUGAAUGUGUUUAUAACAAAAAGAACAAGUUGAAUUGGGAUUUCAAGAUAAGCAUUAGUGUAUGAAAGAUUGAACUUAUUGUGAAGUACUCCCUCCGUUUCAAUAUAAGUGUCAUUUAUAGAAGAUGCACACAUAUUAAAAAAUGCAAU